UAGGAAAGGUUCAGAAGGGCUUACUAGAU
rnacentral:piRNA from 1 species